GCGCUCCCGCCGCCGGGACCCUCGGCUUUCGAGGAGCCGGCAGCUCCCGACCCCGCGAAGAUGGCGAGGAGGAGCCGCCACCGCCUCCUCCUGCUGCUGCUGCGCUACCUGGUGGUCGCCCUGGACUAUCAUAAGGCCUAUGGAUUCUCUGCCUCAAAAGAUCAUCAAGUAGUCACAGCAAUAGAGUAUCAAGAGGUUAUUUUAGCCUGUAAAUACCCAAAGAAGACCAGUUCCUCCAGAUUGGAGUGGAAGAAACUGGGGCACAGUGUCUCCUUUGUCUACUAUCAACAGGCUCUUCAAGGAGAUUUUAAAGAUCGAGCUGAGAUGAUAGAUUUCAGCAUACGGAUCAAAAAUGUUACGAGAAAUGAUGCCGGGAAAUAUCGUUGUGAAGUUAGUGCCCCAUCUGAACAAGGUCAAAACCUGGAAGAGGAUACACUCACUCUAGAAGUAUUAGUGGCUCCGGCAGUUCCGUCAUGUGAAGUACCCAGUUCGGCACUGCGUGGAACUGUGGUGGAGUUGCGAUGUCAAGACAGAGAAGGCAACCCGGCUCCUGAAUACACGUGGUUUAAGGAUGGCAUCCGUUUGCUAGAGAAUCCAAAACUUGGCUCCGCAAGUGCCAACAGCUCAUACACAAUGAAUACGAAAUCUGGAACUCUGCAAUUUAAUACUGUUUCAAAACUGGACAGUGGAGAAUAUUCCUGCGAAGCCCGUAAUUCUGUUGGACAUCGCAGGUGUCCUGGGAAACGAAUGCAAGUAGAUGAUCUCAACAUAAGUGGCAUCAUAGCAGCUGUAGUCGUUGUGGCCUUAGUGAUUUCUGUCUGUGGCCUUGGCGUGUGCUAUGCUCAGAGGAAAGGCUACUUUUCAAAAGAAACCUCCUUCCAUUUGCUGGUUGAUUGGAUGUGGGCUGUGAGAAGAAGAGAGAAAUCAAAGAUGGCUCCAAGGCUCUGGGAAAGAUGAAGUUACCAUUUACUGAAGCGUGAAAGGUUUCAGGAGCAUGUUUGAGAGUGGUGGUGGAGGUAGGUAGAGAGGUCUGUCUGGAGUGCUUUGAAAUUUUUUUUAAUAUUUGAGAUGCCUAUUAUACUGCCAAGUAGAGAUAAUUAGUGAGUAACUGAAUAUAUGAAUCUGGAGUUUGGGGAAACAUCUUAACUAGAGUUAGAAAUUUAGGAGUCAUUGGUGCAUGAGAUCUGGACGAGAUCACCAGAGUCUCCAGUUAAUUUGCAGUUGAUUUGUGCCUGUCCUUCUUGUAUGUACGGAAAUGGCAGACCCAACCUCGACUCUAUGGGCGUUCCCCUCUACUCUCAGCUGCCAUGCUUCGGAGACUUUGUCAUCUUCUAAGUCUUUCGAAGACCAAGGAGAUGCCAUUGAUUUCCUGUUCCUAGACUUGCUCCUCAAUGAUGGUCUCUGAGCCUCAUAAUAUCCCAGUGCAAGUCCAGGAUGAGGUCCAAGUUAGCAGGACUAGCGGUAGCUAGCUCAGGAGUGAGUUCUGAAAAGCAGGGUAGCCUGAUGGUGGUAUGGCCAACCCCCCAUCGCACCCCAGGCAAUUGUGAGGAUUCCCACUUUUAUUGAGUAAGAUGGAAAGUGAUUGGAGGGAGGGUUAUGAACAGAGGAGAGACAUCAUCUUAUAUAUGGAGAAAGGCUGGCAAUGCUAGGGUGAGGGAGGUUAUUAUUCUUUCAUUCAGUCCCUAUUACUGUCUCUAUUAACCCAGGCAGUAAUCUGGGAGGCAAUAUCUUUAUUCCUAGACACAUCUUCCAUUUGUCAAAUCCAUGCUCCUCAAAAUUUGUUGGACAAUGAAUUGGAUGUUGUAUUAGUCUGCUAGGGCUGCCUUAAAAGUGCCAUCAACUGGUGGCUUAAACAACAGAAAUUUAUUUUCUCAUAGUUCUGGAGGCUAGAAGUCCAGGCCUCUUUCCUUGACUUAAAGGUGGUAUUCUCCCUGUCUUCACACGAUCUUAUGUUUAAACAUCCCUGUUUAUGUCUGAAUUUCCUGUUCUUAUAAGGAUAUCAGUCAUAUUGGAUUAGGACCCACCCUAAUUACUUCAUUUUAAUUUAAUUACCUCUUUAAAGACCCUGUCUCUAAAUACGGUCACAUUCUGAGGUACUGGGAGGUUGGGACUUGAACCUGUGAAUGUUUGGUGGGGACACAGUUCAGCCCAUAACAGGUAACUGGAACCGUAGUCACCACAUAAAACUUUCUUUCCAUGGAAAAAAUGAAAUUUGAGAUUAUAAUGAUUAAACUUUCAAAAUAGUAAAUGUCAAUGAGUUGAGUUAAAAGUUAGUAAGUCUCUGGUUUGCAUAUUCCGCAAAAGUCGUUAGUAUCUAGCCUUAGGCUACAAGUAGACACAAAGGGCUUCACACAUACUGAUAUUUUGUUGCAUGGUUUUCUCUAUGAAUAUUGUCUAUAAAUAUAAGAAAUUCAGUUAGGAUUGCUGGGGGCUUUUGUACCUGGCUAAGAUAAAUGUUCAUCUUCCUGUUGAGAAAAUGUGUGGAGGUAACAUUAACUAAAAGAGGAUAUAUGUUUUAGAAUUGGAAGCAAUAAUAUAGUAAAUGCUGUCUUUUAUGUUCCACAAACAGGAAGAGUAGUUCUGCAUCUAAAGCCACUGCAAUGAGUGAAAAUGAUUUCAAGCACACAAAAUCCUUUAUAAUUUAAAAGAAUUCCACCUUUGCGAUGCACCAAAACCACAGUUGUUGCACUAUUAAAAGAUUAUAAAACUCUG